rnacentral:rRNA from 1 species
GUGGGGAAUAUUGGGCAAUGGGGGAAACCCUGACCCAGCAACGCCGCGUGAAGGAAGAAGGUUUUCGGAUCGUAAACUUCUAUCCUUGGUGAAGAUAAUGACGGUAGCCAAGAAGGAAGCCCCGGCUAACUACGUGCCAGCAGCCGCGGUAAUACGUAGGGGGCAAGCGUUGUCCGGCAUGAUUGGGCGUAAAGGGCGCGUAGGCGGCCUGGUAAGUCUGGAGUGAAAGUCCUGCUUUUAAGGUGGGAAUUGCUUUGGAUACUGUCGGGCUUGAGUGCAGGAGAGGUAAGCGGAAUUCCCGGUGUAGCGGUGAAAUGCGUAGAGAUCGGGAGGAACACCAGUGGCGAAGGCGGCUUACUGGACUGUAACUGACGCUGAGGCGCGAAAGUGUGGGGAGCAAACAGGAUUAGAUACCCCAGUAGUCC